UACCAUACUCAGUUUAAAACCUCUUGCCACAGAUUGCUUCAGCAUAUAGGAUGCUUCACACACAGGUUGAAAGGAGAAGAAAGCUCUGUUGACUGGAACAUAGUCAGCUGCUUCACAAAAAAUGGAGAACAGUGAAGAGAUAGAGAGUAUCUAUCCUGUGCUUCAUAACUGAUGUUAGCAUUCUUUGUAUAAUUGAUCAUCUAGAG